rnacentral:lncRNA from 1 species
UGCGGAGGAGGCCAGCCUGGUCUCCACUGCGGAGAUCUGGUCCAGGGUAGAGUCGUCCUGUACAUCUCCACUGAGAGGUGCUGGCAUUGUCUGCUGUGCAGGAAAGCAUGGUGUCAGCUUCGAUCUGAAGAGGGCACUGCUGAGAUCUGUAUUCCCCAGGACCCGAAGCCCUCAGAUGACCUCCAAGCUGACCUCCAUGAUGACUGUUGUUACAUGGCAGCUAUACAGUCGUCUGCAGUCUCAAUCCGCACUGUCUAGGAAUUCUCAACAGAAGCUUCAAAUUGUGCAUUGUGACGGAGGCCGUGGCAUGUCAUACAGGGAGGAGUGUGGGAGGCUAAAGAUGACACUUGUGACCAGGCGCCCAUCAUCUGCCACACCUGGAUCAUGCUGGAGUCUGCCACAGCCAGGUGGGAUGCUCCUAUAACAGAGGGUAUGCCUGGCAUCGACAUGGGUAUUGCUGCAGGCUGUGCUGUGCUCUGGAAACCAGCUGGCUGC